GAAUAUUGGACAAUGGGGGCAACCCUGAUCCAGCCAUGCCGCGUGUGUGAAGAAGGCCUUCGGGUUGUAAAGCACUUUAAGUGGGGAAAAAGGCUCGUUGGCUAAUAUCCAGCGGGAUUGAUACUACCCACAGAAUAAGCACCGGCUAACUCUGUGCCAGCAGCCGCGGUAAUACAGAGGGUGCAAGCGUUAAUCGGAAUUACUGGGCGUAAAGCGCGCGUAGGCGGCUGUCUAAGUCGGAUGUGAAAGCCCCGGGCUUAACCUGGGAACUGCAUUCGAUACUGGGCGGCUAGAGUAUGAGAGAGGGAGGUAGAAUUCCACGUGUAGCGGUGAAAUGCGUAGAUAUGUGGAGGAAUACCGGUGGCGAAGGCGGCCUCCUGGCUCAAUACUGACGCUGAGGUGCGAAAGCGUGGGGAGCAAACAG
rnacentral:rRNA from 1 species